rnacentral:lncRNA from 10 species
UAAUGCUGUUGUUUUGGCAUCUAAUUUUGAAGGCUGAGUUGCACAGAGUAGGCAGUCCCUUCAGGAAGAGAAGGUGUUUGUAAACUGGGCCAGAGCAAGGACAUGCGGGACCCCCGCAGAGUGAACUGACAGAUCUUGAUGUUGUGAGUAUCUGGAAGAGAGGUGGACACCCUCCCUCGGGGAGCUAAAGGCACACCUGGCCCAGGGGUUGGAGAAGCUGAAGGAGCCAGCAGGAGGAGAUGGAGCAGCAGAAGGAGGUGGAGCAGCAGGAGGAGGUGGAGUAGUCACAGUCCCACACCGCUGCCCCAUGCCAUGAAGGUGAGCCAGCAGAGGCUGAUGGGGCAGCACAGUGAAGAUGGCACCUGUCAAGUCAAGAGAUGGAAAAGCUGUAACUGAACCCUGAAAGUCGCUUAACCUGGGACCUUGGUAAAGUCAUUUUACCUCUCUCCAUCUUGAUUUCC